UACGUAGGCAGCGAGCGUUGUUCGGAAUUACUGGGCGUAAAGAGUGUGUAGGCGGUGCUCUAAGUUCGGUGUGAAAUCUCCUGGCUUAACUGGGAGGGUGCGCCGGAAACUGGGGUGCUCGAGCAUGGGAGAGGAAAGCGGAAUUCCUGGUGUAGCGGUGGAAUGCGCAGAUAUCAGGAGGAACACCGGUGGCGAAGGCGGGUCUCUGGGCCGUUACUGACGCUGAGGAGCGAAAGCGUGGGGAGCGAACAGG
rnacentral:rRNA from 1 species